CGGGCGUCUCGACGCCGUCCACCUAGUCGUCGACGGCAGCGACUCGUCACGAGUUUGACCCACCGUCGGGAUCAAUAUCCCGGCCGAGCGUUAAAUCUCUAUUAGCCCUGGAAAGCAGUAGUACUGGGACCUAGUGGUGCUUCGUGGUUCACGGUAUUCACUGUGCGCUAUCCAGCCUGGAUUAGAAUUCUAAUCUUUCCCUGCUGUAGCGUUGAACGUCACUGGCAGGAGGUUCGCUAUGCGGUAACAGGUGAGCAGGAGGCCACGUUGCGCGACGGGUUAUUGGAAGCGAGUGGUCUAGUGGUAUUUCCCCACGAGACCAAAUCUGGGGGACGAUAAACCGUCACGGUACGAGGCGACCAGGACCAAGUUAGAUACGAAACCUUCAUGUACCGUAUGUAUACAUAUACUGACGUGAGAAAUGUACGUAACAAUGAAUUGGAAGUGAGUAAUGUUUUGCAUGACCCAGAAUUUAAGGAGGUCGAACGUGGAGGACGAGGUUGAUUGCAAUGCAACGGCCGUAGGGAAUUCGCGCGAACAGAUGCGCCGCACGAUUCUGGCUCCGAUGUAUCGCGUUUGCUAAUCCUCGACAUGGCUGACAGUAUAAUACACCGCUUUGCAAACAGUGGCGGGACGAGAAGCAGGAAUACCAGAAGCACCGGGAGUGCUAGGUACAUUGAUGCACAGUAGCUGUUAUAGAUUCCCAAUUCUCAUUGCCCACAUUAGGGAUCCAUCGUUGUCAUUGCAUCUGGAAUUCUGACCAUCAGGAUCCAUAUUCCAGUAUCUACAUAUAUGAGCCCAGUAAGGUACACAGAGCGAUAGAGACACGUGGUAGAACCACCCUGAGGUGAUGUUUGACGUUUCAAAAAAUUAAUCAAGUCCAAAGCUUUUUUUUUCAUUUCUGAAUAUGUUCACGAAAAUAUUAAUUUGGGGUCAGAUGACAGUCGAGACAGCUUAUCAACCCUCUUUGGAUUCAGUUUCCUCCCUAAUAAUUUUACGUACUCUCAUUCCCUUUUGAUUGUCUUGUACCCGUUUAAUCGAACUGUAAUUCUUUUUUAAAUUAAAUAUCUGCAUUAACCUUUGACUCGUCUUCCCAAUUUAUA